rnacentral:rRNA from 1 species
AACGCUAGCUACAGGCUUAACACAUGCAAGUCGAGGGGAAACGACAUCGAAAGCUUGCUUUUGAUGGGCGUCGACCGGCGCACGGGUGAGUAACGCGUAUCCAACCUGCCCACCACUUGGGGAUAACCUUGCGAAAGUAAGACUAAUACCCAAUGAUAUCUCUAGAAGGCAUCUGAAAGAGAUUAAAGAUUUAUCGGUGAUGGAUGGGGAUGCGUCUGAUUAGCUUGUUGGCGGGGUAACGGCCCACCAAGGCAACGAUCAGUAGGGGUUCUGAGAGGAAGGUCCCCCACAUUGGAACUGAGACACGGUCCAAACUCCUACGGGAGGCAGCAGUGAGGAAUAUUGGUCAAUGGGCGAGAGCCUGAACCAGCCAAGUAGCGUGCAGGAAGGCGGCCCCAUGGGUUGUAAACUGCUUUUAUAAGGGAAUAAAGUGAGAGUCGUGACUCUUUUUGCAUGUACCUUAUGAAUAAGGACCGGCUAAUUCCGUGCCAGCAGCCGCGGUAAUACGGAAGGUUCGGGCGUUAUCCGGAUUUAUUGGGUUUAAAGGGAGCGUAGGCCGGAGAUUAAGCGUGUUGUGGAAUGUAGACGCUCAACGUCUGCACUGCAGCGCGAACUGGUUUCCUUGAGUACGCACAAAGUGGGCGGAAUUCGUGGUGUAGCGGUGAAAUGCUUAGAUAUCACGAAGAACUCCGAUUG